rnacentral:lncRNA from 1 species
UCUAUUCUCAAAGAGCUUCACCGGGCAAGUACCGAUGCUACUUCCACCACACUUCCAAGAGCUUCACCGGGCAUCACAUAAACAUAAAUCCAACCUCACAAGAGAUAAUCAUCUUUAUACUCACACAACCACCCAAUAUUAUUCAUAUAUACCUAACAUUUUCGAAACAAUCAUUAAACAGUCACAAAAUAAUAACAAUUCAACCCAAAAUAAAAUAAUCAACCAUUUACUGAACACGCAUCCCU